AGAGUUUGAUCCUGGCUCAGGACGAACGCUGGCGGCGUGCCUAAUACAUGCAAGUCGAGCGAGCUUGCCUAGAUGAUUUUAGUGCUUGCACUAAAUGAAACUAGAUACAAGCGAGCGGCGGACGGGUGAGUAACACGUGGGUAACCUGCCCAAGAGACUGGGAUAACACCUGGAAACAGAUGCUAAUACCGGAUAACAACACUAGACGCAUGUCUAGAGUUUGAAAGAUGGUUCUGCUAUCACUCUUGGAUGGACCUGCGGUGCAUUAGCUAGUUGGUAAGGUAACGGCUUACCAAGGCAAUGAUGCAUAGCCGAGUUGAGAGACUGAUCGGCCACAUUGGGACUGAGACACGGCCCAAACUCCUACGGGAGGCAGCAGUAGGGAAUCUUCCACAAUGGACGAAAGUCUGAUGGAGCAACGCCGCGUGAGUGAAGAAGGGUUUCGGCUCGUAAAGCUCUGUUGGUAGUGAAGAAAGAUAGAGGUAGUAACUGGCCUUAUUUGACGGUAAUUACUUAGAAAGUCACGGCUAACUACGUGCCAGCAGCCGCGGUAAUACGUAGGUGGCAAGCGUUGUCCGGAUUUAUUGGGCGUAAAGCGAGUGCAGGCGGUUCAAUAAGUCUGAUGUGAAAGCCUUCGGCUCAACCGGAGAAUUGCAUCAGAAACUGUUGAACUUGAGUGCAGAAGAUGAGAGUAGAACUCCAUGUGUAGCGGUGGAAUGCGUAGAUAUAUGGAAGAACACCAGUGGCGAAGGCGGCUCUCUGGUCUGCAACCGACGCUGAGGCUCGAAAGCAUGGGUAGCGAACAGGAUUAGAUACCCUGGUAGUCCAUGCCGUAAACGAUGA
rnacentral:rRNA from 1 species